AGCGAACGCUGGCGGCGUGCCUAACACAUGCAAGUCGAACGUGAAAAGGGGCAACCCUGAGUAAAGUGGCGUACGGGUGAGUAACACGUAGGUAAUCUACCCCAGAAUCUGGAAUAACCUGCCGAAAGGCGGGCUAAUACUGGAUAGAGCGAUGGAACUCGUAAUUGGGUUUUUCGGGAAAGGGAGCUCGCAAGAGCCUUCGUUUUGGGAUGAGCCUGCGUCUGAUUAGCUAGUUGGCGGGGUAAUGGCCCACCAAGGCGAUGAUCAGUAGCUGGUCUGAGAGGAUGGAUCAGCCACACUGGAACUGAAACACGGUCCAGACUCCUACGGAGGCAGCAGUGGGGAAUCUUGCGCAAUGGACGAAAGUCUGACGCAGCCACGCCGCGUGAGUGAAGAAGGCCUCGG
rnacentral:rRNA from 1 species